rnacentral:lncRNA from 1 species
UUUCUCCCGAAAUGUUAUCACUUUGGCCGACUAUUAUAGCUAUUCCAAUCAGGAACAACUCUUCAGAUAUACUUAAUUGGCCUCAUGACAAUGGCAAAUUUAGUGCCACAUCCGCAUGGAAUCAAAUUAAGCAAAGAAAUAACAAGUGGGUCCCAAGCAGUUGGACAUGGGAUCGACCGGGAUCACAAAGACAUUCCUUAUGUACUUGGC